rnacentral:tRNA from 4 species
CGGGGUGUGGCGCAGUCCGGUAGCGCGCCUGCUUUGGGAGCAGGAGGUCCCGGGUUCGAAUCCCGGCGCCCCGA